rnacentral:lncRNA from 1 species
UGGUUUUCUCUGUAACCAGGAAAUGUGAGAGGGCAAACUUGACCUGGUCUGGGCACAGGAAAUGCAGCAGCCUGUGAGCUUCGAUGUCAUCUUGUUCAUACCUCUAAUACUGCCAUGAAAUCAGGGGAAAUUUCAAGAGCAUUACGUAGAACCAGAAUUUGGCACAAUAGGAUCAUUAUGGAUUUGGGAAUUGAAAGCCAUAAGAAAGUGUCAGAUUGCCUGGGGUGGAGUUAUAGUCUGGAAGACAUUUAGUGCGUAAACAAGAAGGAAUUGAUGCGACCAUCCCCACCAUCAGGCUUAAUGAGUGUCUGGCUUCGUCCUGGCUUCCACGCAGCAGCAGCUGGUGCUGUGUCCACCGACCGGUGCUUCACGAGCAGAAAUCUGCUUUCCAAGUUUCAGCACACACAUGUGUAGACACCCAGCACACGGAGCCUUGGAUCCCAGUUCCCUGACAUAGGAUAUGUCAUGAAAAAUAUUAAUCAUAAAUGUCCUGAAAAUUGGAUCUGAUCUCCCUUAAUACUCUACUCGCUGUUGCAAUGGAAAUGUUUUCUAAUAAAAAAUAUCCAAGUCUGCC